AUUGAACGCUGGCGGCAUGCUUUACACAUGCAAGUCGAACGGUAACAGGGAGCUUGCUCCGCUGACGAGUGGCGAACGGGUGAGUAAUGCGUCGGAACGUGCCGAGUAGUGGGGGAUAACGCAGCGAAAGUUGUGCUAAUACCGCAUACGUACUGAGGUAGAAAGUGGGGGACCUUCGGGCCUCACGCUAUUCGAGCGGCCGACGUCUGAUUAGCUAGUAGGUGAGGUAAAGGCUCACCUAGGCGACGAUCAGUAGCGGGUCUGAGAGGAUGAUCCGCCACACUGGGGCUGGGACAGGGCCAAGACUCCUACGGGAGGCAGCAGUGGGGAAUUUUGGACAAUGGGCGAAAGCCUGAUCCAGCCAUGCCGCGUGUCUGAAGAAGGCCUUGGGGUUGUAAAGGACUUUUGUCGGGGAGGAAAUCCCCAGCGUUAAUACCGCUGGGGGAUGACAGUACCUGAAGAAUAAGCACCGGCUAACUACGUGCCAGCCGCCGCCGUAACAC
rnacentral:rRNA from 1 species